GGACGAACGCUGGCGGCGUACUUAAUGCAUGCAAGUCGAGCGGGGUCCAUCCAGUGGCAACACUGGUGAAGACCUAGCGGCGAACGGGUGCGUAACACGUGAGCAACCUGCCCCGAAGUCUGGGAUAACACCGGGAAACCGGUGCUAAUACCGGAUGUCCCCACCGGACCGCAUGGCCUGGUGAGGAAAGAUUUAUCGCUUCGGGAGGGACUCGCGGGCUAUCAGCUUGUUGGUGGGGUAACGGCCUACCAAGGCAUCGACGGCUAGCUGGUCUGAGAGGACGACCAGCCACACUGGGACUGAGACACGGCCCAGACUCCUACGGGAGGCAGCAGCAGGGAAUAUUGCGCAAUGGGCGAAAGCCUGACGCAGUAACGCCGCGU
rnacentral:rRNA from 1 species